rnacentral:misc_RNA from 1 species
GCCCUUCAAACUUGGACAUUUGAGGAAGCCACUUUUGGUGUUGGCUUUCUUUCUCCUUGAAGCAUUAUGUAGCAAAUGCACUGAAGAAAUUCUCCAAGUUCUAAAUAUAUUUCUUCUCCUCAUGAGUACAAAUUUCCAAUUGCACUUUCUAAUAAUAAAAGAAAAAUGUAACCACUAAUCUACAUUUCCCUCUCCACUCCAGAAAGAGCAGGGAAAAAAGUACAAUAUCCAACAGUCCCAACAAAAACUGCUAUAUUUUGAUAACAACAAAAACUGGUAUAUUUGCCAUGCAAUGGGUACUCUAUAUAGGAGCCCAAUACCAUCCAUUUCCAUUUAGUUGGCUCGCCUUGAAGAAUGGCAAGAUGAGUCAGAUUUCUCGGCCAGAUAGUGCUCAAGCAUAUCUUCUUCAUCAUCUUCAAAAUCAUCAUCAUCAAAGUCGAUGUCCUCCUCAUCUUCCUCAUCAGAUCCUUCUUUAAUUGGGGCUGCUCCUUUCGCUCCGCCACUUUCAAACCACUGUCUGCCUGUAAGCUUCUUCUCCUUAGGGGCCGUAAGUGCAGACUCGGGCAUCAGCUUGGCUCGCUCAAGUGCCAACUCUGCUUCAAAUCUUUCUCUCCAUGCCAGAAAUGUAUCAACAGUAACAGCUUCUCCAUGUGGUACAAUUAUAUCUUCUUUUGCUGCCUGUUCGUCUUCAAUGUUCUCAUUGCUUGCAUCUUGACCAUAUUUUUCAGACAACCACUCUUUAGCUGACGUAACCAGAGUGUAGAUCAUAGCCAUACCAAGAUUUUCAGAUGCCUCGCUUUUCUUUCAAAAUUCUAAGAUCAACAGUUUGUAUACCUCGUAUGCUUUUCACAUUUAGUAAUGGAGACUCAUCUGGAUACUUCUCCGUGUGUGAGAAAAUAAGAGCUAACUGAACUGGAGUGUCCAUUGGAUCAUCUGCAUCAUCAUCCUGUGGAGAUAUCGUUAUCUGAAAGCAUCGAUUUGAAGUAUCUAACCCACUCUCACUUGAAUGAAUUUCUUUGAAAUCAUCCAUAAGUAUAGCUUCCAAUGCUUCGAUUUCCAUUUCCUGCUCCGGUCCAUAGUCAGUCAUGGUUGCGAAGUGCUUUUAUGGAUCAGUCUCAC